GACGAACGCUGGCGGCGUGCCUAAUACAUGCAAGUUGAGCGAUGAAGAUUGGUGCUUGCACCAAUUUGAAGAGCAGCGAACGGGUGAGUAACGCGUGGGGAAUCUGCCUUUGAGCGGGGGACAACAUUUGGAAACGAAUGCUAAUACCGCAUAACAACUUUAAACAUAAGUUUUAAGUUUGAAAGAUGCAAUUGCAUCACUCAAAGAUGAUCCCGCGUUGUAUUAGCUAGUUGGUGAGGUAAAGGCUCACCAAGGCGAUGAUACAUAGCCGACCUGAGAGGGUGAUCGGCCACAUUGGGACUGAGAAACGGCCCAAACUCCUACGGGAGGCAGCAGUAGGGAAUCUUCGGCAAUGGACGAAAGUCUGACCGAGCAACGCCGCGUGAGUGAAGAAGGUUGUCGGAUCGUAAAAAUCUGUUGGUAGAGAAGAACGUUGGUGAGAGUGGAAAGCUCAUCAAGUGACGGUAACUACCCAGAAAGGGACGGCUAACUACGUG
rnacentral:rRNA from 1 species